GUUAAAUUUUAAUAAAAUAAUAUGUGGAGGUUGUUACUCUAGCCAGGCCACUCUCUUGACUGUGUUGUAUUUAUUUUUGCAGCUGGGCAUUGAAACCUGGUAUAUUUUAUGUCAAUAAGAUAUUAGAGAAUCGGUUUACGGGAAUUGCACCGGAGAUCGGGGGUCCUAGUACACCGCAAACAUGUCUAUUAUGUCCUAUAACGGAGGGGCCAUCAUGGCCAUGAAGGGGAAAAACUGUGUGGCCAUCGCUGCAGACAGGCGCUUCGGGAUCCAGGCCCAGAUGGUGACCACGGACUUUCAGAAGAUCUUUCCCAUGGGUGACCAUUUGUACAUCGGUCUGGCCGGACUCGCCACUGAUGUCCAGACAGUUGCCCAGCGCCUCAAGUUCCGGCUCAACCUGUAUGAGUUGAAGGAAGGUCGGCAGAUCAAACCUCAUACCCUGAUGAGUAUGGUGGCCAAGCUCUUGUAUGAGAAACAGUUUGGCCCCUACUACACUGAGCCAGUCAUUGCUGGGUUGGACCUGAAGACCUUUAAGCCCUUCAUUUGCUCUCUAGACCUCAUCGGCUGCCCCAUGGUGACUGAUGACUUUGUGGUCAGUGGCACCUGCGCCGAACAAAUGUACGGGAUGUGCGAGUCCCUCUGGGAGCCCAACAUGGAUCCAGAACACCUGUUUGAAACCAUCUCCCAAGCCAUGCUGAAUGCUGUGGACCGGGAUGCAGUGAUUCCUGGGCAGCCUGUGGCCUGCCUUCUGGUAAAACUGCUCUGA